rnacentral:rRNA from 1 species
GACGAACGCUGGCGGCGUGCUUAACACAUGCAAGUCGAACGGAAAGGCCCUGCUUUUGUGGGGUGCUCGAGUUGCGAACGGGUGAGUAACACGUGAGUAACCUGCCCUUGACUUUGGGAUAACUUCAGGAAACUGGGGCUAAUACCGGAUACGAGCUCCUGCGGCAUUGUGGUGGUGGGAAAGUUUCGGCGGUUGGGGAUGGAUUCGCGGCUUAUGAGCUUGUUGGUGGGGUAGUGGCUUACCAAGGCUUUGACGGGUAGCCGGCCUGAGAGGGUGACCGGCCACAUUGGGACUGAGAUACGGCCCAGACUCCUACGGGAGGCAGCAGUGGGGAAUAUUGCACAAUGGGCGGAAGCCUGAUGCAGCAACGCCGCGUGCGGGAUGACGGCCUUCGGGUUGUAAACCGCUUUCGCCUGUGACGAAGCGUGAGUGACGGUAAUGGGUAAAGAAGCACCGGCUAACUACGUG